rnacentral:tRNA from 1 species
AAAGAUUUAAGUUAACAGACUCAGGGCCUUCAAAGCCCUAAGCAGAAGUUUAAAUCUUCUAAUCUUUG